GCACUUUGUAAUUUAUGGCACAGUACACUGCUGCCGCCGACUUUUCCUCCUUGUGUACUACGCAGUAUUAGAAAAAAGUACUGCUAUUUUUUUCUAUUCUUUCCUCCUUCUUUAUCUUCUAAACUGACGAAUGACCUUCUGCAAAAGUGCAAAUUUCUCCUACUGAUACAGUCCAUUGCUGUGUUAAGAGCACCUGUCUCAUUACUGUUCAAUAGGCAUUGGUUAAGGUCAGGUUGGUCCUAGAACCGGUGAGAGAUCGAAAAAAAAAGAAGAAAAAAAGACG